AAAAUCGAUGGAAAAAAUCUUUCUCCUGCAAGAUGUCAAAACUAGACAUUAGCCAAACGGGAUAAUGGCCGCAAACGAAUCUUCACAGUCCCGGAAAAAGCCUUCAAACCCUCAGAAUAAUUGCAUAAGGUGGUGAAUUACAUCAAACGAUCUUCGUGUCAUAUACAAUUUUGCACCAAGAAAAUACCUAUGUCUGCUACUUCCCUUCUCUCUGCUGCAUCAAACCCCGUCUUCCCUUACAAUUCUACAAAAAAUUCAGCACAAUCUCUCUCUUUUCAUCAAUCUAAAGUUAGUUCCGCAAUCUUUUAUAGCCCUUUUAUCAAUGAUAAUAACGCAAAAGUUGAAAAAAUCAGCAGCAGCAGCAGCAGCAUUGUGUAUGAAAACGAGGAUUAUGCUGCAAAAGGUUCACGCUUUCCACAAUCUACUUCAGCCAUAAAAGCGCCCACUGCUCCGUGGAUGAAGGGUCCUCUUCUUGUCGAACCCGAUCGAAUUAUGAAACCUACCAAGUCAAGACCUAGAAAAGAUUCCACCUUAGACAAAAUUGAAGAACACCCUGAUAAGGCUUUGGCUGGUAAAGUGAGUGGUGGAAGAGGGCAAAAGGCCAUGAAGAAAAUCUUUCAAGGCAUUGAGAAACUCCAAGAAACCGAAAAUUUGGAGGAGACUCAGAAGGUCCCGGAAAAUGUUAAAUUCAGAUUUGCACCUGGUGACUUGUGGGGUAAUGCGGACUUUGAGAAUGUUGUAGAAGUUGAGGAAGAUUCAGAGGUGGGCCCAAAAAGUUUUGAAACUACUGAAUUAGAUAUUCCAUUUGGGGAGGUUGAAAAUGAAGGGAUAUUGAAGAAAAUGCCAUGGGAGAGAGAUGAGAAAAUGGUGAUUAGGAGGGUAAAAAGGGAUAAGCAGGUCACCACUGCCGAGUUGGUUCUUGAUGGAGUAUUGCUAAAAAGGUUGCGGGGUCAGGCUGCAAUAAUGAGAAAAUGGGUGAAGGUUAAGAAAGCUGGCGUGACUCAAGCUGUUGUUGAUCAAAUUCAUCUUGUCUGGAAGAACAAUGAACUUGCCUUAAUCAAAUUUGAUCUACCCUUGUGCCGAAAUAUGGAGAGAGCUCGAGAGAUCACUGAGGUUUAUGUCUGUUUACCUUUCCUUACCUUUUCUUUAUCCACUACCAGUCUAUGCUUCUAAAGUGUUCAGUGCUUCAUAUAAGUUGAUUGCUCCAUUUGCUUGAGACAGCAAAAGUAUAAAAUUGAAAAAAAUGACCACAGACGCAUAUUAUUCUUUUUAUCUUAAACUUUAUCGACAAAGUCAGCCCAUAAGUCUUCAGUCCUGGUAUUUUAGAAAACUUCAAGUUGUACCUUGUGUUCCUAGCUGCAUUUGUUAUGUACAAGGCACAAACUGAAUAAUUGAAUUGUUCCUCUGAUAUAACGACUUUUUCACUUAAAAAAGGCCUAUGCUUUUCUGUUUAUAUGAUUUAAGUCAUUUCCUAGAAUAGCACCAAAGUAGGGCAGGGUAUCCAUGACAACCAAAAUUUUUUUUGUUGCGGCUUUUACAAAACAGCUGGAUUUACUCCAAACAGCAACUGUACAUAUGACCUUGAAGAGUUAUGAAGUUAUAAUUUGUUCAUGUACGAUUUAUGCAGAUACUAGUUCUCAAAUCUUAUUCCAUAUGAGUUGUAGAUACUCUUCUGACCUUGUCUGUGAUCAAUUUUUAACAUGAUUGUUGCUUUGUUCUUCCCACUGUAACAUCCCAAUCCAGUUGGAAAGAUGGCCUUUCCAAAAGUGCAUCAAGUUUUCAGCAAUCCUCUUACCUUUAGAGCAUUUAGCGAGUGUAAAAAUAAUUUUAAUGAUGUCCAAAUAUGUUCUCCCUUAGUUGCUGUUAUCUUUGUUAUUUCCCUUUCAUCUUACCUUAACGUCCUUGUUCUUUCCUUAAAAUAUUUUUUUAGUUGUGGCCCUGAUAUUGUAGUAUUCCUCUAAUCAGAUGAAGACUGGAGGCCUUGUUGUAUGGAAUAAGGAAGAUUUUCUUGCUGUAUAUAGAGGUUGCAACUAUGUACCAUACUCAAGAAAUUAUUCGAAUAUCAGUCACAAGUCAGUUAGUGAUCAAGAAAAUCUAUCCUCAAAUAUGAGUUACCAAAAUACCUGUCAUUUCUCUCUAAUAACAUCAAGUGGAAGUAGUCAAUACAAAAUAAAUGAUGGGAUAGAAGGUGAUUGGGAAAACUUACAUAUCAAUAUAUCACUGUAUGAAAGAGAAGCAGAUAGAUUAUUGUACGGAUUAGGACCACGCUUCGUUGAUUGGUGGAUGCCAAAGCCUUUGCCGGUGGAUGCAGACUUGCUCCCAGAAGUUGCUCCUGGAUUCAAGCCAUCUUUUAGGCUUUGUCCACCUCGCACAAGAUCAAAACUGACAGAUGCUGAACUUACAUAUUUGAGGAAACUUACUCACCCUUUACCAACUCAUUUUGUCCUUGGUAUUUUCCUUUCCUUUGUCACUGCACUAUAACAAUAUCAACUGAACUAUUAGAAUUAUCUCUUCUUAUAUAUACACGCACAGUUUCAAGAGAUUUUGUACCUAUGUGCAGCAUUUUAUUGUGCUCAAUAUCUUUUUCUGGAUGUCAUAUCACACUUUCUACUUCUACCAAUUUUUCUUCUCAUGCAUCUGCAUGUUCUUCCUCAUCUAUAUAUGCCAUUGAUAAAGUAUUGGUAACUUAUUUAGUCCAUUUAAAAUGAAUGUAUCUUUUAAUGUCAAAUUGAAUUUGGUUCUGAUGCUCAUUUCCUUCAUUUUCAGUUACAUUUAAAUAAUGAAGCUCAUUAUGAAGCCCAGGGGGUGACCAUAAGAUCAAUUCCCUACCAGAGGGGAAAAAAGGAAAAUAAUUGGAAACCCUAAUUGAAGACAGUUGGGAUAGAGCAGUUUCCUAUUUCAGUAUAAACGAACCUCUCAAUGUUUUAAAUGUGCAAGUUGUUCUCAACUGCAUUGUACAUUAUCUUUUAGAAAUGGAUAAAAUAUGAUGUGGCACUGAAUUUACUGGAAACUAUGUGUGCAUUGAGUUUUGAAGUACUGAAGAUAUCUAAUUCUAGGAGUGAUAAUCUCGGAUGUCCUGUAUCUUGUGAAGGCUAACCACAUGUUUAUGUGUAUUACUGUAAGUAAAUUAUGCAAAAUCAAUUUGGUUAUACUUUUGAUUCAAUCAGUAUUCUUGAGGAAAAGAGUUGAGGUUUUUAGUUUGUUGAAAAUUUAUGUCUUGAAUCUUAAAGCGUGAACAACUUAUUUUAUAGUUUCUUUAUAAUGCUGUCCAACACAUUUAGUCAAUGCACAGUAGGAUGCAUAUUUGUCUACACUCUGUUUGGGUGUAGUUAUGCUUACUGUUCUGACUUACUCUAGUUUUGGUUUCCUGAAGGAAGAAAUAGGAAACUGCAAGGACUGGCGGCAGCCAUUCUGAAAUUGUGGGAGAAGUGUCACAUUGUAAAAAUUGCUCUGAAGUGGGGAAUUCCCAACACAGACAACGAGGAAAUGGCAUAUGAACUUAAGGCAAGUGUGAUAAAAUGAAUUCAUCAGUUUUACUUUUUGAUUUUGAACAUCUGAUUGAUGCAAAUUGGAAAGUGUAUUCUAGACAAAUUAACUAUUCUACCAAAAACAAUGAAGUGAAAUAAUGAAAAUUCGAUCUUUAAUUAAUUUGAUUCCAUUUAUAGUUACCAAAAACAAUAAAGUGAAAUAAUGAAAAUUCGAUCUUUAAUUAAUUUGAUUUCGUUUACGCCUAGAAUACGCUUUCCAAUUUGCAUCACUGAUAUUCUGAACUGUUGCUUGCAUAUGAGCCCCAUGUAGCAUGUUGUUAUCUUAGAAGGUUUGCGUUUGGUUGAGCAACCUCAAGUGUGUGAAAACCUACUAACGAGGCCAAGUAUGAAAUACUACAGCAUUGUUCAUGUCAUAUAAUCUGCUUGUUUCAAUAAUAUUGCUUCUGCUAUUGUCUAGUACUUUAUCACCUAUUGAAGGGGAUAUAGUAUACAAAAAGAACCUCUUUUCUUUUUCUUUAUUAUUACCUGCAAUCACACACGCUUUUUGGUUUUGAUUGGAGCCAAUACUUGAGUUUAUAUUAGCUUCUUAAAAACUUCUUCAAGUAGGAGCAUUUUAAGGUUUCAUUAUAAUGCUGUGCUGAGGUUGAAUAGCUAAAACUUAGUUUGAGCUGGCUCAUUUGCAGCCCUGAAGUCAAAAGUCAAUCUAGUUUUUAGCCGAAAAGAUUUUUUUUUUUUUUUUUUUUUUUUUUUUUUUAACACAGAAAUACUCAUAGUUUGAAGUAUAUUCUGAAAACAUAUGAAAAGAUCAUGUGAAUAUGUGAAAUCUUCGUAAGAGAAAUUUCUCAAUUGUAACACAAUCCCUUUAUAUCCUAAAGUUCAGUUUUCAGGUAUCCCACGCUAUAUUCUGUGAUAAUCCCUUUAGGUGAAAUGAAUCCCCUUAAUCUGUGAGGUUAUACAUAUACUAUUUUUUUUUUUUUUUAAAUGGAUCACAAGAUAUACCUAUUGGUUAUUAGACUCGUUAUGUUAUGGUACCAUUUCCCUCCGGGUACUUUUAAAGUGGCUUGCAUUUGUUUGUUGGUCAAAUGCUGAAAAAAUAUGGCCCUAGUUGAGUGGCCGAAGUAUUUAGUUUUUAAUGUCUUAUGGGAUUGAAAACAAUGGUCAUCAAUUUAUCGAUUCCUGAUGCAGAAUCUUACUGGGGGAGUUCUUUUAUUGCGCAACAAGUUCUUCAUAAUUCUCUAUAGAGGCAAGGAUUUUGUUCCCUCUCAAGUUGCAACUCUAGUUGCUGAAAGAGAAAAAGAGCUCACCAGAUACCAACUUCAGGAAGAAGCUGCACGGUUAAAAGCAAGUGAUAUAUCUUCUGUCGCCCACGAGGAUAUAUUGAAGUCUAGCAGCAUUGGAACUUUAUCAGAAUUCCAUAGCAUUCUAUCAGAAUGCAGGAACCUGAAAAACGGGAAGACUGAGGUUGAAGUUCAGCUGGAAGCAGAACGGUGGAGAUUGGAAAAGGAACUCAAAAAUCAAGAGCGAAAGCUUUUCAUUGUGAGAUCUUAUUACUCCUUUUUGUCCUAUAUUUUUGCAUUUGAAAAAUUAAAUACUCAUUAGCUGUAAAUUUUGCAGCUUAAGAAGAAGAAAGAAAAAUCAGAUAAAACACUGGCGGCACUAAAUCAGGCCUGGAGACCUUCUGAGCAAGAUUUGGAUCAGGAAUUGAUAACACAAGAGGAGAGAGAAUGCAUGCGGGAGAUAGGAUUGAAGUUAGAUAGCAGUUUGGUGCUUGGUAAGAAAAAGCUUCUGCUUCUUCUAUUUUCCACCCUUAGCUUCUUCUUGUUCUUAUCAUAAAAAAAUGUUUUUUAAAACCUUAGGAAUAUUAAAAUUAUUUAUUUUAGCUUUAUUAUUAUGGAUGUAUUUUUAGUUGUGAGGAGAACCUGUGUGAGUCCUUCAUGACUAUAGCAAUUAAGUCACGAGAUCGGAACAAUGUCAUAAUUUGAUGAAGUCAAAUUGAGAAAUGUUGCAAAUACAUUCACAUAAAUAAUGUAGCAUGUACUUGCUACAAAUCAUAAAGGUUGCCUAAAGAUUCAUGCUAAAUUAAUACCUAAAUUAACACAAUCAUUUGAAUCAAUAGUAACUGACGUAAAGAUUCUGACUAGAGAAUCUAUCAUGUCAAACAAGACAGUGACUACAGAAUGGGAUUAAAAAAUCCCUGUGUAAAGUUUUUGAAUGCAAGUAAGUAAUGUAGUUGAGAGGGAUCUAAAAGUAUUGGUUGCAUUGUCUACUGUCAGCAAUCACAUAUUUAGAAGUCUUCAGCUGGGCCUCUUUGUUAAUUAUUUGAUUGAACUACUAGUGUAUCUCAUUCGUCAAAUGAAGUCGGGAGACACCUUAAAGAAAUGGAAUCUGGAUUUUUUCAGUUUUGACAUUUGAGUUUAUAGACUGGAUCUGUUUGGGGGUUAGAACCAGUAUGUCCUUGCGUUUCUCUUUACUCUUAAGAAAUAACUAUUUUCCUUUCAGCAGUUCAUAUAUCCAUGAGCAAAGUAAAGCCUGAAAAAACUAAGUUAGAAAAGUGUCAGCAACUAAUAUAAGUGAUAAGCUCAAACUUCUAUUGUCUGUACCUUCAAACUUCCUUGAAAUUCAGAUAGCUUAUUAGCCUCUGCUGUUUUGCUGCUGCCCAGUCCUUUGAAUCGAAAUAUGUUUGCUAUCAAGUUAUCAUGUUCAUUUUUUUUAUUUAACCUGGCUUCAGGAAGGCGCGGUGUUUUUGAUGGUGUAAUAGAAGGCAUUCGUCAACACUGGAAGCACAGAGAAAUUGUGAAAGUAAUUACAAUGCAGAAAAAGUUCUCACAGGUCCUUUACACUGCAAAACUUCUUGAGGCCGAAAGUUGUGGGAUCCUGGUUUCUGUAGAAAAAAUUAAAGAGGGCCAUGCCAUAAUUAUGUAUCGUGGGAAGAACUAUAAACGUCCAAAGUUGUUACCUAGAAAUUUGUUGAAUAAAAGAGAUGCAUUAUCUAGGUCACUUGAAAUCCAGAGAAAUGGAGUAAGUAAACUAAUUCUCUCCUUGCUAAUUAAACUGUUUUUGUUUAGACUGACUCGUAUGUCUCUAACCCUUUUAACCUUCUGUUUUCCCUGUAAUAGUCAUUGAAAUUUUUUGCCAAUCAAAGAGAGAAGGAAAUUUGUGAUCUGAAACGCAAGCUGGUAAACCUCUCCUAUCUUUUAAAUCAUUUCAUUUUCAAAGAGAGAUAUUAACAUCAUAGUUCUGGGGAUUCCCUUCUCAUAAAUCUGUUUAAUAGAGUUUUAAGUUGAUAAAUUUUUCCAACUUUUGCAUUGUAUACGUAAUGGUGGAUUCAGUGGCUUGUGCCCUUGCUUCUAUGAUUUCUUGACUGAAUAAUUUGCAAUUUUGCAGGCAAACUUGAACAGAAUCAGUGAUUGAUUGGGUUGGUAUUGGACAAGCUGAUAGCCAUCAGCCAACAUAUACAUCUUAAUGUGAAUUCUUUUCUUCAUUAUGGUGAACUAGCACCUAUGAGAGAGGGAUUUAUCCAUCAAACUAUAUAAUGCACAGAUGAGAUGGGUACCGCUCACAUUUCAAAUUACUUAAAAGUUUUCAGGUAAUUUUGAGGUGGGAGGAAGUAAUAUGCUUCACAUUGGUUUUAAAACUGUGACUUGUUAUGGAUUACCUUUUUGGUCGUUCCAUAAAAGCUGCCUUAAUUUGGAUGCCGCAUGAUGAACCAGCAGGCACUUUGUCAGGUAAUUAUUCUAACGUCACCUUAAGACUAGUUGAUGCAAUAUUAGAAGAUACAUUAUUAUAUUUAGUUUCCAAUUUUGAUAUUUAAUUUAGGAAACAUAGUUAGAGAUUGAUUUCAUAGUAUUUUGCUACUUCAAUUAGGACUAGUUUACACUCAAAAGUGGGCUCAUGCGUUGUAAUUUACACUAUUCAAUUAGAUUAGAUAAGAUCAAAUUUAAUUAUUUUGAUAAGAUUAUAGUUUAUUAGAUUUUGGUUUCUUUCAGUUUCUUGCAUUGUAAAUAAUGAGCUUAUUUAUUGUAAUAUUCAACCCUUGAAUAUAUGAAAUAAAUUGAUUCCCCUUUGUCCUCAAUUCCCAUUUCUUUAUCGUUCUUUGUCAAGUUAAUACGCUUCUGCGUCAUCUUUAUUGUAGGGAAUUGGCCUUGGAACUCAAGUUUGAAUUCGGGGAGACCACAUUACUGCAGUUGAGGAUCACCCAAGAAGGGAUAGCUAAUGUUUUCUAUGACAUGCAUUGAAACUGAUGACCACACUGUAAGUAUCGUGCAUCAUCUACUGAUAAAAUUGCUGGACUACGGAAAGAACUAUUGUGGGGAUGCUAAGGUUGAAGGGAUCAUAUAAGAAAGGUCGGUGAAACAUUUAGCCUAAUAUUGCAUUGACGUAUGUAUAAAUGACUUUAUAAGAUAUGUGAAUGGUUCUGGUGAAGAGCAGUUGAGGCAAUAAUCAUGCAAUUGCUGGAAUCAUAUUGAUUUGUUGACAUUUUCAAUAUUUAGAAAUAUUAACAGUCAGAGAUGGCUAAGCCGUCUACUUGACUUGAUGAUAUUGUAAGGAGUCGAGUUAUUAUGCUUCUUGGACUUGUACAGAUAUAAAAUUGUCUUGAUAAGGCUUGAAUGCGGCAACAGAGGUAACAGGGAGUGCUUAAGG
rnacentral:lncRNA from 1 species